rnacentral:rRNA from 1 species
UACGUAGGAGACGAGCGUUGUCCGGAAUUACUGGGCGUAAAGCGCGUGUAGGCGGGUCCGCAAGUCUGCUGUGAAAGCUCCUGGCUUAACCGGGAGUGGUCGGUGGAAACUGCGAACCUGGAGGACGGUAGAGGUAGGUAGAAUUCCCGGUGUAGUGGUGAAAUGCGUAGAGAUCGGGAGGAAUACCUGUGGCGAAGGCGGCCUACUGGGCCGGACCUGACGCUGAGACGCGAAGGCGUGGGGAGCGAACGGG